ACUUCCCUGUUGUGUGCGAAUAAAAAUCGGAUUUUUUGAGCCAACAUUUUGUAAAAGGGGUCGAUGAAUCCGCUGUGGUGUGCAGGCCUUCUUCGGAAGGAAGCCUAAAGCAGUAUACGGAAACCCCACCUGUCCUUGACAGGUUCAAAAAAUGGUUUUUAUCCGGCAUAAACGGGGAAGUG
rnacentral:other from 1 species